UACGUGAGGGGCAAGCGUUGUCCGGAUUUAUUGGGCGUAAAGAGCGCGUAGGCGGCUAGGUAAGUCCGACGUGAAAUCUGGAGGCUCAACCUCCAGCGGUCGUUGGAAACUACUUGGCUAGAGUCCGGAAGAGGAGAGUGGAAUUCCUGGUGUAGCGGUGAAAUGCGCAGAUAUCAGGAAGAACACCGAUGGCGAAAGCAGCUCUCUGGGACGGUACUGACGCUGAGGCGCGAAAGCGUGGGGAGCGAACAGG
rnacentral:rRNA from 1 species